CUUACACAUGCAGUCGAGGGGUACGACUCCGUCUUCGGAUGGAGGUCGACGACCGGCGCACGGGUGAGUAACGCGUAUGNCACCUACCUUUUACAGGAGGAUAGCCCAGAGAAAUUUGGAUUAAUACUCCAUAGUACUAAUGAAUCACCUGGUUUAUUAGUUAAAACUCCGGUGGUAAAAGAUGGGCAUGCGUGUCAUUAGCUAGUUGGUAAGGUAACGGGUUAACAAGGGCGAAAGAUUAACUAGGGGUUCUGAGAGGAAGAUCCCCCACACUGGUACUGAGACACGGACCAGACUCCUACGGGAGGCAGCAGUGAGGAAUAUUGGUCAAUGGGUGAGAGCCUGAACCAGCCAUGUCGCGUGAAGGAAGACUGCCCUAUGGGUUGUAAACUUCUUUUCUGCAGGAAGAAAUCACUCUACGUGUAGGGUGUUGCCGGUACUGCAGGAAUAAGCAUCGGCUAACUCCGUGCCAGCAGCCGCGGUAAUACGGAGGAUGCAAGCGUUAUCCGGAUUUAUUGGGUUUAAAGGGUGCGUAGGCGGGCUUGUAAGUCAGUGGUGAAAUGCUGUGGCUUAACCAUAGAAUUGCCAUUGAAACUGCAAGUCUUGAGUACAGUUGAGGUGGGCGGAAUGAGUAAUGUAGCGGUGAAAUGCAUAGAUAUUACUCAGAACUCCGAUUGCGUAGGCAGCUUGCUAAACUGUAACUGACGCUGAUGCACGAAAGCGUGGGGAGCGAACAGGAUUAGAUACCCUGGUAGUCCACGCUGUAAACGAUGAGCACUGGUUGUUGGCAAUACACCGUCAGCGACUGAGCGAAAGUAUUAAGUGCUCCCACCUGGGGAGUACGUCGGCAACGAUGAAACUCAAAAGGGAAUUGACGGGGGCCCGCACAAGCGGAGGAACAUGUGGUUAUAUUCGAUGAUACGCGAGGAACCUUACCUGGGCUUAAAUGUAGAGUGCAUUGUUUUGGAAACAGACAUUUUCUUCGGAACUCUUUACAAGGUGCUGCAUGGUUGUCGUCAGCUCGUGCCGUGAGGUGUCGGGUUAAGUCCCAUAACGAGCGCAA
rnacentral:rRNA from 1 species